UACGUAGGGUGCGAGCGUUGUCCGGAAUUACUGGGCGUAAAGAGCUCGUAGGUGGUUUGUCGCGUUGUCCGUGAAAACUCACAACUCAAUUGUGGGCGUGCGGGCGAUACGGGCAGACUGGAGUACUGCAGGGGAGACUGGAAUUCCUGGUGUAGCGGUGGAAUGCGCAGAUAUCAGGAGGAACACCGGUGGCGGAAGACGGGGUUGCUGGGCCAACACUGACGCUGAUGCGCGAAAGCCAGGGGAGCAAACGGG
rnacentral:rRNA from 1 species